GAUGAACGCUGGCGGCGUGCCUAAUACAUGCAAGUCGAGCGAACGGACGAGAAGCUUGCUUCUCUGAUGUUAGCGGCGGACGGGUGAGUAACACGUGGACAACCUACCUAUAAGACUGGGAUAACUUCGGGAAACCGGAGCUAAUACCGGAUAAUAUUUUGAACCGCAUGGUUCAAAAGUGAAAGACGGUCUUGCUGUCACUUAUAGAUGGAUCCGCGCUGCAUUAGCUAGUUGGUAAGGUAACGGCUUACCAAGGCAACGAUGCAUAGCCGACCUGAGAGGGUGAUCGGCCACACUGGAACUGAGACACGGUCCAGACUCCUACGGGAGGCAGCAGUAGGGAAUCUUCCGCAAUGGGCGAAAGCCUGACGGAGCAACGCCGCGUGAGUGAUGAAGGUCUUCGGAUCGUAAAACUCUGUUAUUAGGGAAGAACAUAUGUGUAAGUAACUGUGCACAUCUUGACGGUACCCAAUCAGAAAGCCACGGCUAACUACGUG
rnacentral:rRNA from 1 species